rnacentral:rRNA from 1 species
UACGUAGGGGGCAAGCGUUGUCCGGAAUCAUUGGGCGUAAAGAGCGUGUAGGCGGCUCGAUAAGUCCGCUGUGAAAGUCCAGGGCUCAACCCUGGAAGGCCGGUGGAAACUGUCGGGCUAGAGUCCGGAAGAGGCGAGUGGAAUUCCCGGUGUAGCGGUGAAAUGCGCAGAUAUCAGGAGGAACACCCGUGGCGAAAGCGGCUCUCUGGGACGGUACUGACGCUGAGACGCGAAAGCGUGGGGAGCAAACAGG